rnacentral:rRNA from 1 species
UACGUAGGGAGCAAGCGUUGUCCGGAAUCAUUGGGCGUAAAGCGCGCGUAGGCGGCCUCAUAAGUCCGUUGUGAAAGUCAAAGGCUCAACCUUUGAAAGCCGAUGGAUACUGUGAGGCUAGAGUCCGGAAGAGGCGAGUGGAAUUCCUGGUGUAGUGGUGGAAUGCGCAGAUAUCAGGAGGAACACCAAUAGCGAAGGCAGCUCGCUGGGACGGUACUGACGCUAAGGCGCGAAAGCGUGGGGAGCGAACAGG